GACGAACGCUGGCGGCGUGCUUAACACAUGCAAGUCGAACGGAAAGGCCCUGCUUGCAGGGUACUCGAGUGGCGAACGGGUGAGUAACACGUGGGUGAUCUGCCCUGCACUUCGGGAUAAGCCUGGGAAACUGGGUCUAAUACCGGAUAGGAGCCAUUUUUAGUGUGAUGGUUGGAAAGUUUUUUCGGUGUAGGAUGAGCUCGCGGCCUAUCAGCUUGUUGGUGGGGUAAUGGCCUACCAAGGCGGCGACGGGUAGCCGGCCUGAGAGGGUGGACGGCCACAUUGGGACUGAGAUACGGACCAGACUCCUACGGGAGGCAGCAGUGGGGAAUAUUGCACAAUGGGCGCAAGCCUGAUGCAGCGACGCCGCGUGGGGGAUGACGGCCUUCGGGUUGUAAACUCCUUUCGCUAGGGACGAAGCUUUUGUGACGGUACCUAGAUAAGAAGCACCGGCUAACUACGUG
rnacentral:rRNA from 1 species